UACGAGUGCUUCGAGCGUUAUCCGGAAUCAUUGGGCGUAAAGGGUGUGUAGGCGGCUGUGUUAGUCUUGUGUCAAAUCUCUCGGCUCAACCGAGAGUCCGCACGGGAAACGGCACAGCUCAGAGGAUGGAAGGGGUCUGCGGAACUCAUGGUGUAGCGGUGAAAUGCGUUGAUAUCAUGGGGAACACCGAAAGCGAAGGCAGCAGACUGGUCCACUCCUGACGCUGAAACACGAAAGCGUGGGUCGCGAAUGGG
rnacentral:rRNA from 1 species